GACAGAGGGUGCAAACGUUGUUCGGAAUUACUGGGCGUAAAGGGCGCGUAGGCGGCUUUGCAAGUGACGGGUGAAAUCCCUCGGCUUAACCGAGGAACUGCCUGUCAGACUGCAUGGCUUGAGACCGGGAGAGGUGAGUGGAAUUCCCAGUGUAGCGGUGAAAUGCGUAGAUAUUGGGAGGAACACCAGUGGCGAAGGCGGCUCACUGGACCGGUACUGACGCUGAGGCGCGAAAGCGUGGGGAGCAAACAGG
rnacentral:rRNA from 1 species